rnacentral:lncRNA from 1 species
AUGAAUGUAGACACAUAUUCACUUGAUACUAAAUAUAGCUCAUCUCUUGCGUUGGCUGGUUGCUUUUCUAUUAGCAUCCUUAGGUGCAGUAAAGAUUCAUAAGUAGUUGUUAAUGGAGUAGAGUUACCAAAUUCUGGGUACCUCUUUGUCAAAACUUUGUUAAAUCUGUAAUAGUCCAACCUUGGUACUCUGGAUCGUGUUAUACAUGGUGACUAGCUUAUGAAUGUUAUAAGCUGUUCGAUCAUAAAUUUUGUUGGGCCUCACAUUUGAAGAAACACUUUUGUUAAGUUAAGACUUUCAAGUUCACGUCUCAAUUUGUGAAAAUGUUUUAUGGUCAAUACCACUAACUUGCUUAUAUGGGAUCAUGGGUUUGUUCUUUCGUCCUUGUGAAUGCUGCUUUUUGGUGGUGCCACCUACAACAGCUUAAACAGUUUAAAGCCACUGGUACCUACAACAGCUUAAACAGUUUAAAGCCACUGGUACCUACAACAGCUUAAACAGUUUAAAGCCACUGGUACCUACAACAGCUUAAACAGUUUAAAGCCACUGGUACCUACAACAGCUUAAACAGUUUAAAGCCACUGGUACCUACAACAGCUUAAACAGUUUAAAGCCACUGGUACCUACAACAGCUUAAACAGUUUAAAGCCACUGGUACCUACAACAGCUUAAACAGUUUAAAGCCACUGGUACCUACAACAGCUUAAACAGUUUAAAGCCACUGGUACCUACAACAGCUUAAACAGUUUAAAGCCACUGGUACCUAUUUAAAAAAGAAUAGUUUAAGCCACAGUUGUUUCUAUAUAAUAUAACUAUGGUAAGUUUGACACUAUAUGCGCAUCACAGGGAAUUCCGGGAACAUGUGAAGGACUUGUCAUCCAUAUCAAAGGAUCUAAGCCGGAUUGUCAUUGUUGAUAACAACCCAUUCAGUUUCUUGUUACAGCCUUUAAAUGGGAUUCCGUGCAUUCCAUUUUCUCCUGGACAACCCCAUGACGAGCAGGUAUAAGAAAUGAACGAAAAAAAAAAUUAAAAAUAAAAAUAAAAGAGCUACUUUAUUGCCACAAGUUUUGAUUUGGCUUUCAUUUUCUACAUUAGCUUUUGGAAGUGAUCCUUCCACUUCUCAAGCAUCUCUCUGAGCAGAAGGAUGUAAGGCCUGUGCUCCACGAAAGGUUUCAAAUGCCAGAAUGGUUUCAAAACCAUGGAAUUCCCGCUUAUUGAUUUAUGGAGUGACAAAUAUAUGAUGAUCUCAGCAAGUGAAAUUAUUGAUAUUCAGGGAGACACCUAUACUCUAAUA